rnacentral:rRNA from 1 species
AAUCAACGCUGGCGGCGUGCCUCAGACAUGCAAGUCGAACGCGAAAGUUCCCUUCGGGGGGCGAGUAGAGUGGCGCACGGGUGAGUAACACGUAGGUAAUCUACCUUUGGGUGGGGAAUAACAGCCGGAAACGGCUGCUAAUACCGCAUAAUGCAGCGGCUCGACAUCGAGACAGUUGUUAAAGCGGGGGAUCGCAAGACCUCGCGCCUAAAGAGGAGCCUGCGGCGGAUUAGCUUGUUGGUGAGGUAAUGGCUCACCAAGGCAUCGAUCCGUAGCCGGCCUGAGAGGGCGGUCGGCCACACUGACACUGACAUACGGGUCAGACUCCUACGGGAGGCAGCAGUCGGGAAUUUUGGGCAAUGGGCGCAAGCCUGACCCAGCAACGCCGCGUGAAGGAUGAAAUCCCUCGGGAUGUAAACUUCG